GUUACAACGACUAUACCUCCCAUAUGGGUAAUCGAUAUCCACACACCCCUCUACAUUGACUCUGGAAUUCAGGAAAGGGAAUUAAAAUUUUCUAACUUAUGUACCCCAAUGAUUUCAACAAUAUCUGGCAUAUGAGAUCAAUAAAUAUCUUUAAAAUACCAACUAAGAAAGACAUAAAAUGACCCACCCUCCAUACCAGGCUCAUUUUUGCUCCUCUGAUUCCUGAAACUAUCCAGAAUGCAGCUAUGAAUUCUCUCCAUUGUCAGUUUUAAAUUAAGCCAAGCUGGGUACUUGUGUAAUUCCUCAAGAAAUCCUGGAUGAAAACUGUCAGGUGGAAAACAGGACCUCAAAAUAAAGAGACAUCCAUCACUGAAGCUAACAUCGUGAGGCUGAAAUCAGUCCUAUAACAAUGGUACCAAAAAGAGCACAAUGAGAGGCAUUUGUGAAUAUUUACUCAGAUGAGAGUAAGAUAUUUCCCUAUCAGCUAACCUGAAGUUCACAUCCCUUUUCCAGCUGAGUUCUGAAGCUAGAUGUACUUAACUGGAACACAUAACUGCAUCAGGAACAUCCUUUAAAACUAUGGCUACCAUGGCUUGACUGGACAAACCCCAGGCUUCCAGGUUUAGCACAGGUGGCCCUUCACAGACCAACAUUGCCUAUGCUACCAACCUCAUGUCCUACCACCCUGCUUGCAUCAUUUCUCUCUCUGCAUAUAUAAAAAUAUAUGUGUAUGUAUAUAAUCAGCUUUAUUGAUAUUUAAUGUACCACAAAAUUUGCCCACUUUAGGUACAGUUCAAUGAAUUUUACCGUGUUUUCUUAGUUGUACAACCAUCAUCACAAUUUAAUUUCGGAAUAUUUCUAUCAC
rnacentral:lncRNA from 10 species